CCUACGGGAGGCUGCAGUGAGGAAUAUUGGUCAAUGGGCGGGAGCCUGAACCAGCCAAGUCGCGUGAGGGAAGACGGUCCUAUGGAUUGUAAACCUCUUUAGGCGGGGAGCAAUGCCGGGCACGCGUGCCCGGAGGGAGAGUACCCGCAGAAUAAGCAUCGGCUAAAUCCGUGCCAGCAGCCGCGGUAAUACGGAGGAUGCGAGCGUUAUCCGGAUUUAGUGGGGUUAAAGGGUGCGUAGGCGGGUUUUUGAGUCAGCGGUAAAAUGUCCGGGCUGAACCCGGGCCGGCCGUUGAAACUGGGGAUCUUGAGUGGGCGAGAAGGAUGCGGAAUGCGGGGGGUAGCGGUGAAAUGCAUAGAUAUCACGCAGAACUCCGAUUGCGAAGGCAGCAUACCGGCGCCCGACUGACGCUGAGGCACGAAAGCGUGGGGAUCGAACAGGAUUAGAUACCCCAGUAGUC
rnacentral:rRNA from 1 species